AUUCAAUUAGUUUAAUUAAAAUAUUAAAUUGUGGCUUUAAAGAUAUUUUUUAAUAUUGAAUA
rnacentral:tRNA from 1 species